UCGAACGGCAGCACGGACUUCGGUCUGGUGGCGAGUGGCGAACGGGUGAGUAAUAUAUCGGAACGUACCCAAGAGUGGGGGAUAACGUAGCGAAAGUUACGCUAAUACCGCAUACGAUCUAAGGAUGAAAGCAGGGGAUCGCAAGACCUUGUGCUCCUGGAGCGGCCGAUAUCUGAUUAGCUAGUUGGUGGGGUAAAGGCCCACCAAGGCAUCGAUCAGUAGCUGGUCUGAGAGGACGACCAGCCACACUGGAACUGAGACACGGUCCAGACUCCUACGGGAGGCAGCAGUGGGGAAUUUUGGACAAUGGGGGCAACCCUGAUCCAGCAAUGCCGCGUGAGUGAAGAAGGCCUUCGGGUUGUAAAGCUCUUUUGUCAGGGAAGAAAAGGUAGGGGCUAAUAUCCCUUGCUCAUGACGGUACCUGAAGAAUAAGCACCGGCUAACUACGUGCCAGCAGCCGCGGUAAUACGUAGGGUGCAAGCGUUAAUCGGAAUUACUGGGCGUAAAGCGUGCGCAGGCGGUUUUGUAAGACUGUCGUGAAAUCCCCGGGCUCAACCUGGGAAUGGCGAUGGUGACUGCAAGGCUAGAGUUUGGCAGAGGGGGGUAGAAUUCCCACGUGUAGCAGUGAAAUGCGUAGAUAUGUGGAGGAACACCGAUGGCGAAGGCAGCCCCCUGGGUCAAAACUGACGCUCAUGCACGAAAGCGUGGGGAGCAAACAGGAUUAGAUACCCUGGUAGUCCACGCCCUAAACGAUGUCUACUAGUUGUCGGGUCUUAAUUGACUUGGUAACGCAGCUAACGCGUGAAGUAGACCGCCUGGGGAGUACGGUCGCAAGAUUAAAACUCAAAGGAAUUGACGGGGACCCGCACAAGCGGUGGAUGAUGUGGAUUAAUUCGAUGCAACGCGAAAAACCUUACCUACCCUUGACAUGGAUGGAAUCCUUGAGAGAUUGAGGAGUGCCCGAAAGGGAACCAUUACACAGGUGCUGCAUGGCUGUCGUCAGCUCGUGUCGUGAGAUGUUGGGUUAAGUCCCGCAACGAGCGCAACCCUUGUCAUUAGUUGCUACGAAAGGGCACUNUAAUGAGACUGCCGGUGACAAACCGGAGGAAGGUGGGGAUGACGUCAAGUCCUCAUGGCCCUUAUGGGUAGGGCUUCACACGUCAUACAAUGGUACAUACAGAGGGCCGCCAACCCGCGAGGGGGAGCUAAUCCCAGAAAGUGUAUCGUAGUCCGGAUUGUAGUCUGCAACUCGACUACAUGAAGUUGGAAUCGCUAGUAAUCGCGGAUCAGCAUGUCGCGGUGAAUACGUUCCCGGGUCUUGUACACACCG
rnacentral:rRNA from 1 species